rnacentral:rRNA from 1 species
UCAGACGAUGCGUCAUGCAUAUCAAUAAGCGGAGGAAAAGAAACUAACAAGGAUUCCCUUAGUAACGGCGAGUGAAGCGGGAAGAGCUCAAAUUUGAAAUCUUCAAGGUUUUACCUUGACGAAUUGUAGUUUAAAGAAGUGUUUUCUGUUGAAGUUUUGGUAAAAGUUCUUUGGAAUAGGACAUCAUAGAGGGUGAGAAUCCCGUAUUUGACCAUUAUUUUCAGCUGUGUGAUACACUUUCAAAGAGUCGGAUUGUUUGGGAAUGCAGUCCAAAAUGGGUGGUAAAUUUCAUCUAAAGCUAAAUAUUGGCGAGAGACCGAUAGCGAACAAGUACCGUGAGGGAAAGAUGAAAAGAACUUUGAAAAGAGAGUUAAACAGUACGUGAAAUUGUCAAAAGGGAAGCGUUUGACACCAGUGUUGUUUUCCUCGAAAAUCAAUUAAAAGGAGUUAGAUUUUGUUGUGUAUUGACCUUAACAGCUUGCAUUUCAAUUUUCUUGCUUUUUUAAUGCACUUUUCGUUUAACAAGUCAACAUCAGUUUCUUUUGUUGUAAAAGGGUCAUUGGAAGGUGGCUUUCUUUUCGGAGAAAGUGUUUAUAGCCUUUGACUCCUGCAAUCGGAGAGACUGAGGUCCUGCAGCGUAGAUCCUUCGGGGUUAGAUACAUUUGUGCUAAGUUAUAGCUUUUUAUAGACAACUUGUUGACUAUGAUUAGUCUUGUAGCUUACUCGCUCAUGCUAUUUUACCUACGCUUAGGAUGUUGAGUCGUAGAGCACGCAG